rnacentral:rRNA from 1 species
UCGAGGAUAUUUAGCAAUGGGCGAAAGCCUGACUAUGCGACGCCGCGUGAGGGAUGAAGGUCUUCGGAUUGUAAACCUCUUUCGAUGGGGAAGAAACUUCGCCACUUAACCUGGCGAACUGACGGUACCCAGAGAAGAAGCCACGGCCAACUCCGUGCCAGCAGCCGCGGUAAUACGGAGGUGGCGAGCGUUACUCGGAUUCAUUGGGUGUAAAGGGCAGGUAGGCGUCUCAGCAAGUCAGUAGUGAAAUCCUAAGGCUUAACCUUAGAACUGCUUCUGAAACUGCUGGGAUUGAGGCCAAAAGAGGAGAGUGGAAUUCCCGGUGUAAGGGUGAAAUCUGUAGAUAUCGGGAGGAACACCAGUGGCGAAGGCGGCUCUCUGGUUUGGUUCUGACGCUGAG